GACGAACGCUGGCGGCGUGCCUAAUACAUGCAAGUCGAACGCAGUGGGGACGGGUGAGUAACAUGUGGGUAACCUUCCAUCAGAGGGGAUAACACUUGGAAACAGGUGCUAAACCGACAUCGAUGGAUGGACCCGCGAUGCAUUAGCUAGGUGGUGAGGUAACGGCUCACCAAGGCAACGAUGCAUAGCCGACCUGAGAGGGUGAUCGGCCACACUGGAACUGAGACACGGACCAGACUCCUACGGGAGGCAGCAGUAGGGAAUCUUCGACAAUGGACGAAAGUCUGACCGAGCAACGCCGCGUGUGUGAAGAAGGUUUUCGGAUCGUAAAACUCUGUUGUUAGAGAAGCGGUAUCUAACCAAAAAGCCACGGCUAACUACGUGCCAGCAGCCGCGGUAAUUC
rnacentral:rRNA from 1 species